rnacentral:rRNA from 1 species
UACGAAGGGUGCAAGCGUUAAUCGGAAUUACUGGGCGUAAAGCGCGCGUAGGUGGUUUGUUAAGUUGGAAGUGAAAUCCCCGGGCUUAACCUGGGAAUGGCUUUCAAAACUGGCGAGCUAGAGUACGGUAGAGGGUAGUGGAAUUUCCUGUGUAGCGGUGAAAUGCGUAGAUAUAGGAAGGAACAUCAGUGGCGAAGGCGACUACCUGGACUGAUACUGACACUGAGGUGCGAAAGCGUGGGGAGCAAACAGG